AGGAGCUGGAUCUUAAUUCUCCAGCAGAGAACCACCUUCACUCAGGAUGGGCUCCGGACCCCCCGGCCUGCUGCUGCUCCUACUUCUCAGCAGUCUCAUCGGUCAGUGUGUCACAGGAGAGUCAUCCUUCAUCAUAAACACUGUGAACCUCCUGAUCCAGCCGCAGAGCACCGUUGAGAGUGGAACACCAGUGACCGUCCACUGCCAUGUCAGCGUCAGUUUCUACAACAUGUCUCACUUCGAGCAUCAUUUCAAGCUCAUGCGGGACGAUAUUCCCAUCUACACCACCGACACCCCAGACGACUCCAUCAUGUAUGAGCUGAACCCAGCCAGGGCAGCCGACUCAGGAAGUUACGCAUGUCGAGUCACUGUGAAGGACAAGAGCAAGGCCUCGAUCAGCCAGAAACUUGAUGUCAGAGGCCUGCAGACCCCCACUCUGCUUCUGAAUAAUUUUGAACCCUAUGAGAAUGAGGAGUUUGUAGCYACAUGCAGCGCUCCAGAGGAGAAAGGAAAGCUCCUAUUCUACUUUUACAAAAGAUUUCGUGGUGGAGAUCCUGAGAUGAUAAAGAGUGUCCGAAGUACUGGGAAUAUUUCAGAGACCACUCUGAGUCUUAGUCACUUAGGACACUGCUUCCUGUCCUGUGAUUAUGAGAUCAAUUUGGCUUCUGGGACCAGACGCGCUAACAGAAGCGAUGACGUUGGUGUGUUAGUUAAAGUGCUCAACAUUAACCCAGUUGUAAAUACGUUGCCCUCCGACACUGUCUACGAGGGGGACCUUGUAGAGUUUCACUGUAAAGUGGUGGACAGUCGUUUGAAGAACAUUGAAGUGUUUCUCAUAAAGGACAAAACGAUUCUCAAAAAAGGCAAAACAGCUCUUGUUCAUCAACUUAGAACACAAGCAGGCGACUCAGGGGAGCUUGUUUGUAAAGCACAAUGGGAAAAUGUCCAAAAGGAAAAGCAUAUAACCCUCACAGUUAAAGAACUGUUUUCAAAGCCACAGCUGACUCUAAACCCGACAGACCCAUAUGAAGAAGAGCGCUUCCAACUCAUCUGCUCCAUUUCCAUUUAUGUUCCUGAUAAAAUCAAUGUCAACAUGAUCAAAUACRUCUACUACAAGGAUGACAAGGAACUGACCACAUCAAAAACCUAUAUUUCUGUGGCACAACCUGAAAGAAAUGGCAACUACACCUGUAAGGUCACGGCUACAUCUAUCCAUGCAACGUUCUCUAAGCUGAGCCAAACACUUCAUUUUCAAGCUAAAGUUCCCGUUUCAAAACCUGUUAUGAGUGUAGUAGGGGGCACACUUUUGUUAGGAAAGAGUUUUCAGCUGCGUUGUCACAGUGACAAAGGCACUCUUCCAAUCACGUACGUCCUGUUUAGCCCCCACAAUAAGCCCGAGCUCCGAGAAGUCACCAAGUCRGGGGAAAGAGCCAUCUUCAACCUACCUCCCAUCUUUAAGCGCUCAGACUUGGGCCAAUUUCAUUGCAACGCUCAAAACAAUCGACGCAACAGUCCCCUGACAGGAGAGGGAGAGCAGCUGCAAAAUUCAACCAGAAUCAUAGAGUCGUUGUCACAACCAGUGUUGAGUGUUCGACCCGACGCGUGGGACAUCUCUGAGGGUCAAAGUGCAACUUUCACCUGCUCUGUGCAGAGAGGCAGUUUUCCCAUCACCUUCACAUGGUUCAACACGGAGACAAAGGAUCCACUUGAUAUCCUGACUACUUAUGAAAUGGAAGGAUCCUACGUCAUACAGAAUAUCAACGGGAAACACAAAGGGAGCUACUACUGUGAGAGCACGAAUGCUGCCAAUGAAGUCAAAAGGAGCAACAUUGUCAUGAUUGGGGUAAACAUGGCUGGAUGGAAGAAAGCUCUUAUCAUCAUUGUCUGCCUUCUGCUCAUACUGAUCCUCAUCCUUGUGAUUGCCUUCAGAAAACGUUUUCUUAACUAUAAGAAUAGGACUGUCAGYGUGAGAAGCAAACUAUCGGUGAAGUCAGCCGGCACCAAAACAGAGCGUCUGAGCCUUACGCAGGCAGAAGUCAUACAGGUUUCUAACGCCACCCCGAGCAUGAUGGGAAAAAGUGUUUGGAGUGAUCACGUAUCAGGCUCUGAAUCCGAUGAUCAGGUCAGCACGGUCAACCAAGAGAAACAGGAACCUCAAAACACUGAGGUGCAAACCACAGAUCCAGAUCCAAACGGGGCUCCAGUGAAGCAGGGACCAGACACCGUGAACAACGAAGUACGCCUCUCCAUUCAAGGUGUUUCAGAGACAUCUGAUGGUGUGUCAGUGGAAUAUGCGCAGCUGAAUCGUGAUCAACACAGUGAGAGCUGUGACCAUGCUGACCACAGCCAGAACAAUGUAACUGAGGCUGACAGCAGCACUGGCAAUGACACCGCUACCCAGGAUGGAGGCAACUGUGACCCAGCAUCAGACUGUUAAAUUACCAACUUUUUGUUUUCUUAUUCAGUACAGUAUGUUGUACUGAAAGCUCCAACAUCAACUUCCAAGACAGAAAAAGAGAAUAUACUUUUUAUGAACAACAAAAAGAAGAAAAAAAAGAUUCAGUCUGAUUACAAUGAUGACCAAACAGGAAAUCUGAGCAGGAACCAACGUAUGGGAAGAAACUUAUGCCAGAAAUUGAAUUUGGGUUGUUCUGAUUGAAUCUGUGUGUGCAUAAUUUGAAAAUGAAUGCAUUGGUUUGAAAACGUAUUUCACUAAAUUGAAAAUGAAUUUGAAGUUUUGAAU